ensembl:lincRNA
AGUGUGAUUAAUAAUGUAUGUGAGAAGAUAUGAUACACACUAACUUGUGAGAUGUACUGUUUGUAAUGGCCCUUGAUGUUUCUGUGUGUUUUUUUUCCAUUUAGAAUUGAAACACUACCGAGCAUUCUGGGAUCCAUGACAGUGUCUAGCAUUUAGUAGCUUAUCAGUGCUACUGGCCAAAAGGAUGAGUCCAAGUUAAUGGAUCUGGGCUGGGGAUGAUGGCUCAUGUGAAAUGUAUUGAGAUGGUCAGUCAAUUGAGGCCCCAACUGGUGAAGCAAGUGACACAUUCUCCUUCUCUCAUGAACCGUCCACCCUUUAUGCCUGUGAAAUUCUGAAGUACCUAUAUUUAAUUUGGGGGAAUGGACUGUAGACUUGGUGGUUCUUCUUUCAAAACAACAGAGAAACCUGAG